GCCGUGACAUGAUUAAUCGUUUUCUUCUGAUCUAAUUUUGGAACAUGAAAAACAGCACAUUUGUCUUGAAGAAAAAUGAUGUGCCGAACUGCGCAGAUGGAAAUUUCGAGCAAUGAGAAAGAUUAAAGUGAAACCCCACUCCUUAGACCUAAUCAUGAGUUGUAGAUUAUUCUGUCGGCCCAGCCAGAUGGUAGCUCUGAUUCCACAGCCCCUUCUUAUAUUAAUGAAUACUCGACUGUUAUAUUUGACUUAGGCUUCUCAUCUGUAACUGGUGAAGCCCGGAAGAGCUUGUUGUUCAAGAGGAAAUCUUGUGUUACUUCUUUAUGAAGGACUCCAGCCUGGUGGAGAUGAAUGAGUCCUGAAGAUGGAAUCGAAGCUGUUUGGGCACAAUACUUUAAUCAGCAUUUAAUGACCCAGUCGAAAAUUCAUUGUUUGGACCCAAGCACUGGUGGGAAAGGCAGGAGGGGAGGCCUGCCUUCCUUCCUCCCUCCCGAGCCCUACAGCAGGCCAUGGAGUGGUGAGCGAGUUCGUACAGUGCCAACCACAUUCCCAGAAACUUCCAGCAGAGGUUAAUCCUGCUCCUCUCAGGAAAAAGUGAUUCAGCUCCGGUCCACCCUGGGUGCAGCGGUCCUUCUGCCAAGAUGCCUUCAUAUCAUACAGCUAUUAUUUUCGGGAGGAUUCCAAGUGAGGGCAGUCAGGGUGGGCUUGGCCCAUUCUCUAGACUUUGGAAGGUAAUGUUCUAUAGAGGCCUGUUCUGAAGCUUUACCAGGUCAAACCGGAGAAGAACCCAACAAGUAACUCAUCCCAGCCUAACUAUUCUUCAAGGGCAAUCAACCUACAGCAUCCAAGCACAGAGAAAUCAAAUCCAUGGAGAAUCUUCAAAUUAGGCUCAGAAUCCAUUUGGGUCAAUGAAUUUACUGUUAUUAAGAUCUUAGUUGUGUUCAACCAUGAUUUGACAUACCUUAGAGUGAGAAGAUAUUCUUCCUGGCCUCAGACUAGUUGAAGGUAGAGAGAGAGACAGGCCCUUGGGUGUGGGGAGACCUCUCCUGGGAUAAUACACACAAAAAACCAAGAGCUGCUCACUGUGGUGCAGGAGACAGCAGGGCCUGAAGCCAGAGGCUCUGUGUCCUUGAAUACAAUGUUUUACUCCUCUGACCCCUGUUACUGUGAUUUGGAGAGGCAGACAAUAUAGGAUGGGCUUUGCAGGCAGGGAGGUCCAGUUAUAAUCCCAGCUCUUACUAAGUUGGGUAAGACUCACUCUGAGACUUAGUUUCUUCUGUCAUCUCUCAAUAGAAUCAUAAAGGUACUUUCCUCUUAGUGUUGUUUUAAAAUUCAGUAAAAUAAUGCAGGCUUAGCACAGGGUCUGAUGUAAAUUUUCAAUGAAUUAUCGUUGUCAAUAUUGUUCUGGAAAACAAGAGGGCAUAUUAGAAGAUCAAAAGUACUGCCAAGCAUUGAAGUGCCAAUUCUAGAUCCAGUCUCAGCCCUCUGAGAAUGGAUAUCAUUGUUUUCAAGCCAUUCAGAAACCAAUGUGAAUUGAACACCUAGUAUGAGCUCUCUGAGGGAAGAGCCAAGUCAUGCAUUUUUUAUCUUAAGGGGUCUUCAAUACCUCUAGCCCAAAACAGUAUCUCCAUCAGGAUUCUUCUCUGAUAGUGUUCAUUUCUUUUUUCUCAAUGGAUGCCUUAAAAAAAAAAUCCUACAAGGAAACCUGUACUCCUCAAAUACACCACUCAGGUGACCAUUAAAUCAUUUACAUUGUUAAUUUCUUUUCAGAUGUGUGUCUUUUUCCCUAGUUACAUCAUCAGGACCUUGAAGGUAGGGACAGGUCUUAGAUUUCUUGAUGCCCCCAUAAAUCUAGGUACAGAGUAGGUCUCUGGACAUCAGUAUAAGGCCCAUGAGCCUGAUAGCUGCCCAGGUGGGUGCUGUGUGCCUGGGCGUGGGAAGGACAAAAGAGAGGUCACUAAAGGGGUUCCUGGGAAGGAAGAGCCCCUCUGACUUUAAAAGGGAGCCCAUACACUUUUUGGACAACUGGAAUAAUCAGAAAGCUGUUUUUGGGGAGGCAGCAGCCAGAAAAACCUGGGGCAUUGGGUCAACCAAAGCCCUUCCCAAGGCUGCAGUGGCUGCAGCUAGUUAGCCCAGCUUCCCUACCAGCCCCAGGGCUGCAACUGAACAGUGUUGGCUUCUUAAUAAAAACAG
rnacentral:lncRNA from 10 species